AAUAGAUACCCAGGUAGUCCACGCCGUAAACGAUGAGUGCUAAGUGUUAGAGGGUUUCCGCCCUUUAGUGCUGCAGCUAACGCAUUAAGCACUCCGCCUGGGGAGUACGGCCGCAAGGCUGAAACUCGAAAGGAAUUGACGGGGGCCCGCACAGGCGGUGGAGCAUGUGGUUUAAUUCGAAGCAACGCGAAGAACCUUACCAGGUCUUGACAUCCUCUGCCAACCCUAGAGAUAGGGCGUUCCCCUUCGGGGGACAGAGUGACAGGUGGUGCAUGGUUGUCGUCAGCUCGUGUCGUGAGAUGUUGGGUUAAGUCCCGCAACGAGCGCAACCCUUGAUCUUAGUUGCCAGCAUUCAGUUGGGCACUCUAAGGUGACUGCCGGUGACAAACCGGAGGAAGGUGGGGAUGACGUCAAAUCAUCAUGCCCCUUAUGACCUGGGCUACACACGUGCUACAAUGGAUGGUACAAAGAGCUGCGAACCCGUGAGGGUAAGCGAAUCUCAUAAAGCCAUUCUCAGUUCGGAUUGUAGG
rnacentral:rRNA from 1 species